rnacentral:rRNA from 1 species
ACGAACGCUGGCGGCGUGCUUAACACCUGCAAGUCGAACGGAAAGGCCCUGCUUUUGUGGGGUGCUCGAGUGGCGAACGGGUGAGUAACACGUGAGUAACCUGCCCUUGACUUUGGGAUAACUUCAGGAAGCUGGGGCUAAUACCGGAUAGGAGCUCCUGCUGCAUGGUGGGGGUUGGAAAGUUUCGGCGGUUGGGGAUGGACUCGCGGCUUAUCAGCUUGUUGGUGGGGUAGUGGCUUACCAAGGCUUUGACGGGUAGCCGGCCUGAGAGGGUGACCGGCCACAUUGGGACUGAGAUACGGCCCAGACUCCUACGGGAGGCAGCAGUGGGGAAUAUUGCACAAUGGGCGGAAGCCUGAUGCAGCAACGCCGCGUGCGGGAUGACGGCCUUCGGGUUGUAAACCGCUUUCGCCUGUGACGAAGCGUGAGUGACGGUAAUGGGUAAAGAAGCACCGGCUAACUUCGUG